rnacentral:rRNA from 1 species
ACGAACGCUGGCGGCAUGUCUAAGGCAUGCAAGUCGAACGAUGUUUCAUUCCUCGCAAGAGGAGCGGAAGAUAGUGGCGAACGGGAGAGUAACACAUUGGUAAUCUACCCUGAACUCGGAAAUAACGCGCCGAAAGGUGCACUAAUGUCCGAUGGUCAGGGGGUGGCACGUGCCACCCCCUGUAAAGGUCCGCCGGUUCAGGAGGAGCCUAUGGCCCAUCAGCUAGUUGGUAGGGUAACGGCCUACCAAGGCAACGACGGGUAGGGGGCGUGAGAGCGUGUACCCCCUCACUGGGACUGAGACACUGCCCAGACUCCUACGGGAGGCUGCAGUCGAGAAUCUUCCACAAUGGGCGCAAGCCUGAUGGAGCAAUGCCGCGUGCAGGAAGACGCCCUUCGGGGUGUAAACUGCUUUUGUCGGGGACGAAUCUUUGACGGUACCCGAUGAAUAAGUCACUGCUAAUCACGU